GACGAACGCUGGCGGCGUGCCUAAUACAUGCAAGUCGAGCGAAUGGAUUAAGAGCUUGCUCUUAUGAAGUUAGCGGCGGACGGGUGAGUAACACGUGGGUAACCUGCCCAUAAGACUGGGAUAACUCCGGGAAACCGGGGCUAAUACCGGAUAACAUUUUGAACCGCAUGGUUCGAAAUUGAAAGGCGGCUUCGGCUGUCACUUAUGGAUGGACCCGCGUCGCAUUAGCUAGUUGGUGAGGUAACGGCUCACCAAGGCAACGAUGCGUAGCCGACCUGAGAGGGGGAUCGGCCAAACUGGGACUGGGACACGGCCCAGACUCCUACGGGAGGCAGCAGUAGGGAAGCUUCCGCAAUGGACGAAAGUCUGACGGAGCAACGCCGCGUGAGUGAUGAAGGCUUUCGGGUCGUAAAACUCUGUUGUUAGGGGAGAACAAGUGCUAGUUGAAUAAGCUGGCACCUUGACGGUACCUAACCAGAAAGCCACGGCUAACUACGUGCCAGCAGCAGCCGCAG
rnacentral:rRNA from 1 species